rnacentral:rRNA from 1 species
UGGGGAAUAUUGCACAAUGGGGGGAACCCUGAUGCAGCCAUGCCGCGUGAAUGAAGAAGGCCUUCGGGUUGUAAAGUUCUUUCGGUGACGAGGAAGGUUGGUAGGUUAAUAGCCUAUCAAAUUGACGUUAAUCACAGAAGAAGCACCGGCUAACUCCGUGCCAGCAGCCGCGGCAAUACGGGGGGUGCGAGCGUUAAUCGGAAUAACUGGGCGUAAAGGGCACGCAGGCGGUGACUUAAGUGAGAUGUGAAAGCCCCGAGCUUAACUUGGGAAUUGCAUUUCAUACUGGGUCGCUAGAGUACUUUAGGGAGGGGUAGAAUUCCACGUGUAGCGGUGAAAUGCGUAGAGAUGUGGAGGAAUACCGAAGGCGAAGGCAGCCCCUUGGGAAUGUACUGACGCUCAUGUGCGAAAGCGUGGGGAGCAAACAGGAUUAGAUACCCUGGUAGUCCACGCUGUAAACGAUGUCGAUUUGGGGAUUGGGCUUUGAGCUUGGUGCCCGUAGCUAACGUGAUAAAUCGACCGCCUGGGGAGUACGGCCGCAAGGUUA